AAGGAGACAACACAACACACACACACACAGAGAGCAAGCAAAAGAGGCGGCUAGGGAUCAGAGAGUGGUUCCUUCACUGAAAGUUUCUUCUUUUUCAUUCUCUUCUUCUCCUUCAGAUUCCUUGCCUCUUCUUCAAGAUUCUCCUCUCUUCCAUGUGCGUUUCUGUGCUUUUGAAGACGACGAUGAUGAUGAUGAUGUCUUUAUAUUGAAACCAAAUUCGUCUCCACGA
rnacentral:sRNA from 1 species